rnacentral:rRNA from 1 species
UGGGUACGCAUGUCUAGUAUAAGCAUUAUACAGCGAAACUGCGAAUGGCUCAUUAUAUAAGUUAUCGUUUAUUUGAUAGUACCUUACUACUUGGAUAACCGUGGUAAUUCUAGAGCUAAUACAUGCUAAAAAUCCCGACUUCGGAAGGGAUGUAUUUAUUAGAUUAAAAACCAAUGCCCUCUGGGCUCUCUGGUGAUUCAUGAUAACUUCUCGAAUCGCAUGGCCUUGCGCCGGCGAUGGUUCAUUCAAAUUUCUUCCCUAUCAACUUUCGAUGUUUGGGUAUUGGCCAAACAUGGUCGCAACGGGUAACGGAGGGUUAGGGCUCGACCCCGGAGAAGGAGCCUGAGAAACGGCUACUACAUCCAAGGAAGGCAGCAGGCGCGCAAAUUACCCAAUCCCGACACGGGGAGGUAGUGACAAUAAAUACUGAUACAGGGCUCUUUCGGGUCUUGUAAUUGGAAUGAGUACAAUUUAAAUCCCUUAACGAGGAACAAUUGGAGGGCAAGUCUGGUGCCAGCAGCCGCGGUAAUUCCAGCUCCAAUAGCGUAUAUUAAAGUUGUUGUGGUUAAAAAGCUCGUAGUUGAACCUUGGGCCUGGCUGGCCGGUCCGCCUCACCGCGUGUACUGGUCCGGCCGGGCCUUUCCCUCUGUGGAACCUCAUGCCCUUCACUGGGCGUGACGGGGAAACAGGACUUUUACUGUGAAAAAAUUAGAGUGCUCCAGGCAGGCCUAUGCUCGAAUACAUUAGCAUGGAAUAAUGAAAUAGGACGUGCGGUUCUAUUUUGUUGGUUUCUAGGACCGCCGUAAUGAUUAAUAGGGACAGUCGGGGGCAUCAGUAUUCAAUUGUCAGAGGUGAAAUUCUUGGAUUUAUUGAAGACUAACUACUGCGAAAGCAUUUGCCAAGGAUGUUUUUCAUUAAUCAAGGAACGAAAGUUAAGGGGAUCGAAGACGAUCAGAUACCGGUCGUAGUCUUAACCAUAAACUAUGCCGACUAGGGAUCGGGACGAUGUAAAUAAUUGACUCGUUCGGCACCUUACGAAGAAAUCAAGUGUUUGGGCUCCAGGGGGGGAGUAUGGUUCG